ACAGAGCACUCAUACUGAUUUCUAGAUCCAUGGAUUGAGAAUUUCUAUGGUGGAAAUACCUAAGAGAAAAGCAUUUGGAAUAACUUCUGCCUAUAAAAAUAGUGAACUAAAGCUUCCAGAUUCUUGGACUUAGCAGCUGGUGGAUUCUCCAUGGCCAUUGUGCUCAUGGCCAUUAUGGACUUUUCUGCCUCUGAUCCUUUCAAGGACUCCAUCCUGGAUAAAGCAAUUCACAGUCAACAUACCAAGGACUAGGACUUGGUAAUAGCAUAAAGUAUAAGAGGAGAGGACGGCAAUGGCCAGCUUAUAAAGGCCUUGGUAAAAAAAGAACCUGCAUUUCUGCCUCUUUUCGGUAGUGGUGGCAAUGACACAAUAAGAUGUCCCCAAAAUCUGUCCAAGAAGCAGAAAUGAACAAAUAUUUUUGGAAUGGAGAUCCCAUUGGUGCUACUUUCAAUAUACAGUGGAUCCUCAAGUUUCGACUGGCCUGACUUAUGAUCAUCUGCCUCUUGUUAUCUAUAGUGUGUACCCAGAAGGAAAUGAGCCCCUGCCCUGGAAAAAAGCAUUUAAAAAUCUACAAACAUCACAAAGGUGGUCACCAAAGAAUUGAGAUAGUAGGGACUGAACUCAGACCAUCUGGCUCUAGAUUCAACAACUUCACCUCCAAACCAUUAUACUUAAACAUGAUUGAAAACUCCACCAAUUCAGCAUGGAAAGCCUUAAGUACACUGAGCAAAAUGAAAUGAAAAAUAAAGCAAUAGUAACUUACCAGUUUUUAUUUGGUAACUCUAUAC